UGAAUUCUCCUUGCUCAUUAAUAUGCCCAUGAGAACCAGUUAGCCACUCUUCUUUAAGAGCAAGGUAUCUUCUACCAGCUUCAUUGAGUUCACCUUCUGCAUUAACCAAGUGAGCAUUGUCUCGGCUCAUGAACAACUCGCAAGAUCCCCAGAGCAUAAUGCCUUCCACUGCAGGAUGAGCAUAAGCCUCUCGAAGCAUGACUUCCAAAUCAUCCCCUCUAACAUAUUCAUUAAUGGAA
rnacentral:misc_RNA from 1 species